GACGAGCCACCCGAACGUUAUUCGGAAUUACUGGGCUUAAAGGGUGCGUAGGCGGUGUAGCAAGUCGGGAGUGAAAUACCCCAGCUUAACUGAGGAAUUGCUUUCGAUACUGCUGCGCUUGAGUGAGACAGAGGUAAGCGGAACUUAGGGUGGAGCGGUGAAAUGCGUUGAUAUCCUAAGGAACACCGGUGGCGAAGGCGGCUCUCUGGGACGGUACUGACGCUGAGACGCGAAAGCGUGGGGAGCGAACAGG
rnacentral:rRNA from 1 species